AACGAACGCUGGCGGCAGGCUUAACACAUGCAAGUCGAACGAGAUCUUCGGAUCUAGUGGCAGACGGGUGAGGAACACGUGGGAACAUCCCUUUCAGUUCGGAAUAACGUUGGGAAACUAACGCUAAUACCGGAUACGUCCUUCGGGAGAAAGAUUUAUCGCUGAAAGAUUGGCCCGCGUCUGAUUAGCUAGUUGGUGAGGUAAUGGCUCACCAAGGCUACGAUCAGUAGCUGAUCUGAGAGGAUGAUCAGCCACAUUGGGACUGAGACACGGCCCAAACUCCUACGGGAGGCAGCACUGGGGAAUAUUGGACAAUGGGCGCAAGCCUGAUCCAGCCAUGCCGCGUGAGUGAUGACGGCCUUCGGGUUGUAAAGCUCUUUUGUCCGGGAAGAUAAUGACUGUGCCGGAAGAAUAAGCCCCGGCAAACUUCGUGCCAGCAGCCGCCGUAA
rnacentral:rRNA from 1 species